rnacentral:misc_RNA from 1 species
AAGUCGUAACAAGGUUUCCGUAGGUGAACCUGCGGAAGGAUCAUUAACACGUAUCCAAACGUUAAACCCCCCUGUGAACCUUCACCUGUACUCGUACGUCCAAGCAGUUAGUGUCUGAAAGUGUCAUUAACUGUGUAAGGAUGACGCAGUCACGAUCGUUGGAGGCCCACACGGCCGACGACCGGGUCACUGGGCGCAAGCCCCCCUAUAACAAACGCUGCUAAUCGCGGCCGCGAUAAUACGCAGUCGACCAAAAACCGAACAACUGUUAACAAUGGAUAUCUUGGUUCUC